AACGUAGGUUCCGAGCGUUAUCCGGAUUUACUGGGCGUAAAGCGCGUUCAGGCGGUUUGGCAAGUCGGGCAUGAAAUCUCUCGGCUCAACCGGGAGAGGUUGUCCGAUACUUUCAGACUUGAGGGCAGUAGAGGCACAUGGAAUUCCGGGUGUAGCGGUGGAAUGCGUAGAGAUCCGGAAGAACACCGGUGGCGAAGGCGGUGUGCUGGGCCGUAGCUGACGCUGAUGCGCGACAGCGUGGGGAGCAAACAGG
rnacentral:rRNA from 1 species